GGAUAAGAGCGUCUGCUAAAUGACGUAAAUGUAAAAAAAAUGUAAAUGUUUAUGCCCUCAUUUGCAAUGCAAACCCGGGCGGCAGUGUGUUUUGGGUCAUUGUCUGCAUUUGGAGAAGAAAAAAAGACAUUUAGCCUAACUGCCAAAAUUAGGUACAAUAAUAGAAAUACACAUGGAAAUAGGCCUAAACGUAACAAAAUAUUGCUGUAAUCCUACCUUGAAAGAAAAGAUGUGUACCCAGAAACACCUAUCUGACAUGGGGUCCAGCAUAUCUCUUGAUGAUUUCUUCCUCAAAGAAAUCUCGAGCCAUGAUACCUGAAAAAGGAGGCAGGAGUGAAUUAUUGUGGAACACAUAACAGUCCGUGAGGUGUAGGCUACACUUUUUUAUGUAUCUUUAGCUUUGUAAAUAGCCAAACUUACCAUCAAAAAUCAAAUAUGGGCCUGCUCCCUGGCGAGAAAUUGCCCCCACACAUGGAGUUUGAGCGGAUGCUUGGGACUCGGCUUGCUUGAUCUUCUUUCUUUUUUUCUAUAGCAGUUUUGUGCUGUGAUGCCAGGAGAUUGAAUAUAAGCAAGUGAUGUCUGCUAAAUAAUCUAGUUAGGUUUCUCCAGAAAUAAGUCAUUCUAAUUAACAAACUGGCUUCAUUUACAAAUUAGUGAGAAUCUCACCCCAUGUUCAAGAGUUGCUUUUUCUCAUUCACUCUAGGUUAAACCAAGAUGGCGUAGCAGUUGGACGUGUGUUUUGUCUUGUCCCAUGUAAAUAUUGUUUUUCUUUCGUAUAUAUUUUAAUAUCACUUUCCAUCUAUGGACUGAAUAUACUCUCCUGCAACCCGCCUCACCCAAUGUGGUACGGAUCUGCUCUUUUUUAUAAUUAAGAACCGGAACCCCCAUCAAAGCUAGCCAGCUAACUGGCUACUAGCUAAUAGUCAGUUAGCCUUUGCUAGGCCCAUCUGCUAGGCCCAUCUCCCGGCUAGCCGAAGAGGCACAUCAGCCACUCUUUGGGCUACAAUACCUGGACCCCCGCCAACCCAUCACGACUGGACUACCGACGUAAUUCUGCCCGAGGGUUUUUUUCAAUUGACUCCUCCAUCGAGACGUCCCCUGUAUGCCCACCCGCUAGCAUGCUAGCCGCGGCCUGCUAGCUGUCUAGAGCACAUUGGACUGUUAGCUUAAGAGGCCCAUCGGACAAAUUAUUUGGCCUCUAUACCUAUUUUGCCAAUUGGCCUGGUUUACUACAUGGAGCCCUGCUAAUCCAUCUGCCAACGUCACAGCACGAGGGGGCCACAACAACUAACAUUGCUACGUCCCUCAAAGGCUCUUCUGCUAGCUUGUUAGCCCCGGCCCGCUAGCUGCCUGAAGCCACUCACUGGACUCCUAUGAUCACUUGGCUACACAUGCCUCUCACUAACGUCAAUACGCCUUGUCCAUUGCAAUUUUGCACACUCUGCCAACCCGGAUGUCCUAGCCGUGUCUGAAGACCACCAAAAACCCUGACAUUUCCAUCCCUGACUAUAACAUUUUCCGAGGAAUAGCCUGCAGAGUUCUGUCUUACUAUCCAGGUCUGUGCCCAAACAAUUUGAGCUUCUACUUUUAAAAAUCCACCUCUCUAGAAACACAUCUCUUACCGUUGCCGCUUGCUAUAGACCACCUUCUGCCCCCAGCUGUGCCCUGGACACCAUAUGCGAAUUGAUUGCCCCCAUCUAUCUUCAGAGCUCGUGCUGUUAGGUGACCUAAACUGGGACAUGCUUAACACCUGGAAAUCCUACAAUCUAAGCUUGAUGCUCUCAAUCUCACACAAAUUAUCAAUGAUCC
rnacentral:lncRNA from 1 species